UUCUCCUUGUCGGAAACGGUUACGGACCAAUUUUCCCCUCUCUCGCGGCCUGCGUAUCCCUCUUCCCUCGGCUGCUUCCUCCUCCCUCCGCAUCCACACCAUGGAAUCCUAGCGCUAGCUCGGCUAAAUCGAGGGGCAACCAGUGGUGCAAACAAAUCGGGUGAUGCUGCAGGCGUACAGCCGCUCCUGCGCGCAUGGCAGCACGUGGCGCGCGCCGUGCUCGUGCAGCCGGACAGCCGCCGACCGGCAUUGGCGGCUUUGCGUGCUGCUGGUGAGUGGUGACUGGUGAGUGCUACUAAUCUCAUAUGGGCUAGGCGGCUGGCCGUCUCACGGAAACUCGAAAGCACAUCAGGGUCUGCGAUUGGCGCACGGCAGCUGCUUGUAUCGAUUUACUUUUUUGUUGAUGCCUUCUGAAGUCUCAAUCUCCCAAUCUGGCAAGUGGCAAAUCCCCAUGAGUCCAUGGAAUAUCAUACUUCUUCAUCUCUAUUUCAAUUGCAUAAAUUGAAAUCGACGAUUAUAUAUUUGUACCGAAUUUUUAUAGACUUGCACAAACUGAAUUGGUUAAAUGGGAUCAUCAUUUAAUCAUUCCUAAAUACUACUUUAGUUGUCUUUUGUGAAAAAUACAUCUCUGAUUUCUUGUAAGUGUCCAACUUUUGUGUGUUAAUUCAAGUUCAGUGACUAUUCUGAUGAAGAUACAGGAGGCAAGGACGAACCAAAUCACCAUCAGUUAGGAACAUACCGUGUCCUUUUUCAAUUUUGACUGCAAAUGAACACCUCAUCCAACAGAAGGGUCAAGAGAAACACCCUGCAGCCCAUCUCAAAUCCAUCUUCAAGAGGGAGGGAACACCUAUGAGAAAACAACAGAGUGAUGGAGCUCAACUGCCAAGGCUCGUCUGCGCUUAGCUUUGUGACUUUGGUGAUGGAUCUUAUGGCCAUCCUUGAAUUUGUUCAUGGCAGCAUUCAUGACAGCCUGUUCUAACCAUGUGGUAUGGGGUUCAUAUGUUUUUCUGGAGCUGUAAAUGCUUGGCAAUGAAUACGUAACUACAAUUGGUUUACUAAA